UACGUAGGGUGCAAGCGUUAAUCGGAAUUACUGGGCGUAAAGCGUGCGCAGGCGGUGAUGUAAGACAGGUGUGAAAUCCCCGGGCUUAACCUGGGAACUGCAUUUGUGACUGCAUCGCUGGAGUGCGGCAGAGGGAGGUGGAAUUCCACGUGUAGCAGUGAAAUGCGUAGAGAUGUGGAGGAACACCGAUGGCGAAGGCAGCCUCCUGGGCCAGCACUGACGCUCAUGCACGAAAGCGUGGGGAGCAAACAGG
rnacentral:rRNA from 1 species